GAUGAAGAACGCAGCGAAAUGCGAUAAGUAGUGUGAAUUGCAGAAUUCAGUGAAUCAUCGAGUCUUUGAACGCACAUUGCGCCCCCUGGUAUUCCGGGGGGCAUGCCUGUCCGAGCGUCAUUGUUGCCCUCAAGCACGGCUUGUGUGUUGGGCCUCCGUCCUCCUCCCGGGGGACGGGCCCGAAAGGCAGCGGCGGCACCGCGUCCGGUCCUCGAGCGUAUGGGGCUUCGUCACCCGCUCUUGUAGGCCCGGCCGGCGCUUGCCGACACAUCAAUCUUUUUUCCAGGUUGACCUCGGAUCAGGUAGGGAUACCCGCUGAACUUAAGCAUAUCAAUAAGCGGAGGA
rnacentral:misc_RNA from 1 species